rnacentral:sRNA from 1 species
GAGUGGAGCUCGGCGCUGCGGCGGGGAGCUGAGCCGAGCGGCUGGGCGGGCCUGGCCAGGCCAGCGGAGCGGAGACGUCGGUCGAGCGGCGGCGAACAUGCGCUUUUGACACAUUGGAGGCUUUCUUGAUCAUGGAUAGUGAAGAUAUACCAGAUUUUUCAAGUUUAAAGGAGGAAACUGCUUAUUGGAAGGAACUUUCCUUGAAGUACAAGCAAAGCUUCCAGGAAGCUCGGGAUGAGCUAGUUGAAUUCCAGGAAGGAAGCAGAGAAUUAGAAGCAGAGUUGGAGGCACAAUUAGUACAGGCUGAACAAAGAAACAGAGACUUGCAGGCUGAUAACCAAAGACUGAAAUAUGAAGUGGAGGCAUUAAAGGUAAUUGCAGCAGUAGACGCUGGGGUCUAAUGUGUUGGGUUUUAUUAAAAUGAGAAAUAUGUUUUUCAGGUGCUUAAGAGCAGCAGGCGACAAAAAAUAGUUUGAAAAAAACGCUUAAAGUGAAUUUUUGAAUAAAAUGUUUUCUUUUGUGGAACCAGGGGAAAAGGUGGUUUAGAGUUUA